CCCCCAGUAACGGCGAGUGAACAGGGAAAAGCUCAAAUUUGAAAUCUGGGAGGCUUGCUCCUCCCCGAAUUGUAGUUUGAAGAAGUGUUUUCGGUAACCAUGUGAGUCCAAGUUUCCUUGGAAUGGGGCAUCAGAGAGGGUGAGAAUCCCGUCUUAGGCUCAUCAUGUCGUUGCCAUGUGAUACACUUUCAAAGAGUCGGGUUGUUUGGGAAUGCAGCUCUAAAUGGGUGGUAAAUUUCAUCUAAGGCUAAAUAUUGGCAGGAGACCGAUAGCGAACAAGUACUGUGAAGGAAAGAUGAAAAGCACUUUGAAAAGAGAGUUAAAUAGCACGUGAAAUUGUUAAAGGGGAAACGUUUGAAAUCAGUGUUGGUCGCCGGGUUCAGCGGCGGAGCUUGCUCCGUCGUGUACUUCCCGGUGCCAGGUCAGCAUCAAUUUGGCUCGUUGAGCGGGUUCGGGAAGGUAACUUGCCCCUCGGGGUAAGGACUUAUAGACCGGAUCUUGCCAAUGGGCUGGAUUGAGGACUGCAGCACGUUUCGGAGAGUCCGGGCUUGGGGUGGAGCGGCAUUGCGUGACUGGCCUUGGUCAGACCCGUAGUGUGUGACUUGCCUCACGUUCGAGACUGCUACUUGAGUGCUUAGGAUGCUGACAAAAUGGUUUUAAAUGACCCGUCUUGAAACACGGACCAAGGAGUCCAACAUCUACGCGAGUAUUAGAGUGGCAAACUCUGAUGCGCAAUGAAAGUGAAUGCAAAUGGGAUGGCGCUUGACGCCUGCACCAUUGACCGACAUCGAAGCCAUGUGCGGAAGUGUUUGAGUAGGAGCGUAACUGUUGGGACCCGAAAGAUGGUGAACUAUGCCUGAAUAGGGUGAAGCCAGAGGAAACUCUGGUGGAGGCUCGUAGCGGUUCUGACGUGCAAAUCGAUCGUCAAAUUUGGGUAUAGGGGCGAAAGACUAAUCG
rnacentral:rRNA from 1 species